GACGAACGCUGGCGGCGUGCUUAACACGUGCAAGUCGAACGGUGAAGCUCCAGCUUGCUGGAGUGGAUCAGUGGCGAACGGGUGAGUAACACGUGAGCAACCUGCCCCUGACUCUGGAAUAAGCGCUGGAAACGGCGUCUAAUACUGGAUACGAGAAGGGCCCGCAUGGGCACUUUCUGGAAAGUUUUUCGGUUGGGGAUGGGCUCGCGGCCUAUCAGCUUGUUGGUGAGGUAAUGGCUCACCAAGGCGACGACGGGUAGCCGGCCUGAGAGGGCGACCGGCCACACGGGGACUGAGACACGGCCCAGACGCCUACGGGAGGCAGCAGUGGGGAAUAUUGCACAAUGGGCGAAAGCCUGAUGCAGCGACGCCGCGUGAGGGAUGACGGCCUUCGGGUUGGAAACCUCUUUCAGCAGGGAAGAAGCGAAAGUGACGGUACCUGCAGAAGAAGCACCGGCUAACUACGU
rnacentral:rRNA from 1 species